rnacentral:tRNA from 1 species
GGGUCCUUAGCUCAGCUGGGAGAGCGCCUGUUUUGCACGCAGGAGGCCGAGGGUUCGAGCCCCUUAGGAUCCACCA